UACGUAGGGGGCUAGCGUUGUCCGGAAUCAUUGGGCGUAAAGCGCGUGUAGGCGGCCCGAUAAGUCCGCUGUGAAAGUCGGGGGCUCAACCCUCGAAAGCCGGUGGAUACUGUCAGGCUAGAGUACGGAAGAGGCGAGUGGAAUUCCUGGUGUAGCGGUGAAAUGCGCAGAUAUCAGGAGGAACACCAGCGGCGAAGGCGGCGCUCUGGGCUGGAACUGACGCUGAGGAGCGAAAGCGUGGGGAGCGAACAGG
rnacentral:rRNA from 1 species